GAUGAAGAACGUAGCGAAAUGCGAUAAGUAAUGUGAAUUGCAGAAUUCAGUGAAUCAUCGAAUCUUUGAACGCACAUUGCGCCCCUUGGUAUUCCAUGGGGCAUGCCUGUUCGAGCGUCAUUUGUACCUUCAAGCCUUGCUUGGUGUUGGGUGUUUGUCUCGCCUCUGCGCGCAGACUCGCCUCAAAACAAUUGGCAGCCGGCGUAUUGAUUUCAGAGCGCAGUACAUCUCGCGCUUUGUAUUCAGAACGACGACGUCCAAAAGUACAUUUUUACACUCUUGACCUCGGAUCAGGUAGGGAUACCCGCUGAACUUAAGCAUAUCAAUAAGCGGAGGA
rnacentral:misc_RNA from 1 species